CCUACGGGUGGCAGCAGUGGGGAAUAUUGCACAAUGGGGGAAACCCUGAUGCAGCAACGCCGCGUGAGUGAUGACGGCCUUCGGGUUGUAAAGCUCUGUCUUCAGGGACGAUAAUGACGGUACCUGAGGAGGAAGCCACGGCUAACUACGUGCCAGCAGCCGCGGUAAUACGUAGGUGGCGAGCGUUAUCCGGAUUUAUUGGGUUUAAAGGGUGCGUAGGCUGUGAGGUAAGUCAGCGGUGAAAUGCCCCCGCUCAACGGGGUGAAGUGCCAUUGAUACUGCCUUGCUGGAAUGCGGAUGCCGUGGGAGGAAUGUGUGGUGUAGCGGUGAAAUGCAUAGAUAUCACACAGAACACCGAUUGCGAAGGCAUCUCACGAAUCCGCGAUUGACGCUGAUGCACGAAAGCGUGGGUAUCAAACAGGAUUAGAUACCCUUGUAGUC
rnacentral:rRNA from 1 species